AUCCCCCUUUGAAUAUACUGCACAACAACUUGCCCCAUCAAUGUGAAUGACCCCAUGACGAGCGCUGCCUGGCAGUGCGGCCAGGACCUACGCGCUAAGCGCGGUCUAGAUCCUGGUUUAUUAAAUUUUUUACAUCCAAUAUUUUCUGUAUCCCUUGCAAUGUGGCCUGCGACAUAAAUUUGAAACGGCGCCUAAAUCGCUACUCUUUACAAUUAAAACGCAACUCCGCGACCUCAUUUCUUCGACGAUUUGCAAAUCAACACGAUGUGUGAGGAUGUGUGUGCAUCUGCGUGGUCACAAAGUGGUGUUCACUUGUGUCGCUGACGCCGCUUCCACCACUAAAAACCAAACGCAUAUGACGCGCGCACACGCAUCCGAAUCCAGCAAUACACUGCCGCGCUCGCUGGCUCCGUCAUAAAAGAAUUAGAAAGUCAGCAACCAUGGUCGGUACCCCGAGCGGUCAACGCAGGGCACAAAAGGCCGAUCCAAUCCAAUCCGUUAUUUGUUUUGUGGCGUUCGUUGCAGUGUCCGUUUGUGGUGUUCACGCCUGUACGUAAAUGCAGAAGAAUCCGAGUUUCACAAUGGGUGAGUGAAAAGAGUGAAGGUAAUAAGUCAGGAAGGAUUGUUUACGAAUGAUUGUAUUUGUGUUGUGAAAUAGAAAGUUGAGCUGUUUCGUUUGUGCUUAUGUGCAUGCGUUCGUGUAGUGCAGAUCCCAUUGUGUUUUGUGUUGACAAAAUUACAAGGUCGAUGACAUUUUCCACUGACGUGUGAAAAGCAGCUGUUCAACGCGCUCCUUCGUCAGCUUGCUCGACAUCUCAGACUUUGCUAGCACUACUGCGCGAACAGUGAGCAGGGUGAAGAUUCUGAUACAUAAUAUCAAGUUGCGAGUGCGCUCUCAAAUAUUUCAGAACAUACCCAGGACGCACAGGACAGAGUAAUUAUAGCUUUUUCGCUGCUUCUAACAGUGCGAGCAAGAAACAUAGCAUAUUCAGGUAUGACUUGUUUAGUACUGUGUCUCAAAAGGAAAUGCUAGCCUGACUAAGGCUGACAAAUUUCAACAUUGUGUGUUCCUCAAAUGAAGCACAACAUUUUCGACAUCAAGAUAUUUAACUGUACUUACAAUGCCAUUAAUUUCGUUAUCUCCCAACGCUGAUGUUACCGAGGUUUGCUUCUAGGGUAAUUUCGUUUAAUAGGCAGGCUGGUUCGGGCAUAGGCUGUUCUAUUGCCUAAAGAAGUGACUAGUCUGUUCAGCUUCUCUAUACUUAUUUGUUGUCGAUAAAAGUGUGAGAUGGCUGAUGGGUUUCUUCACUCUCACCGUAGAAUUUUCUGGUGAAGAACCGAAGCUUUUAACAUUUGAGGAUACCAGAAAGAAGUUCAUUUCUUCGGGCAGCGGCGACUGGUGCGAAAAAAAUUGCUCUUCGAGGUCCUAUAUUUACGUGAAAAGAUGAGUGGCGUGGCCUGCUAAUCAGUUUCACCUGAGAAACUGAGAAUUUUACGAGCGCUCAUGAAGGACAAAGUAGCAACCUCCUCCAGCUCGCAGUGAGGCAAGGGGAAGAUGAAGUUCUGUGACCUGUUAUGCUGUGAUGUAAGUUCUGGCACUGUAAUGUCAAACCGGCUGUUCAAGGACGUGACCCGCAGUAAAGCAGAGCAUCACAUAAAGUCCUGGCUGAGGCACGCCAAAGAACCUCAUGACAGGACGUCGACAAAAGAUAAGGGCUCGGAGUACUACACAGAACAGCAGCGACAGCUGGACCAAUCCGUGCGAAACUAUUCAGGCCUAGCUUUGACUCUAGAUUUCACGAGAGAAAAAAAAGUGCGUUCUCUGAGAGUGUGGUAGAUAAACAUUUAUUUCCUCUGUAUAUUUGGCUGCAGACUGAGGGCUAUGCAGGUGUUGCCUUCAAAAUGAAAAGUGUUAUGUCAUUGUCAUCUCCAUGCAAUACACAUCGACAAUAUCAAUGGGUUUUCCAUAUAUAAUGUUGGACAAAAAAAUUCAGCUGAUGAAACAGAAGGUGGGAUCAUGUUAAAAUUUAUUCUGUGUAGAGAGCUCGGGAGCAGACCAUAAUUGUGACAAAUGCAGUCAAACUCCUUUAUAGAUAACACCUUUUUAACGAAAAUACCACUACAGCAAAUUUUUUUUGCGGUCCCGCUGGAGCCCUAUAGGUCCAAUAAUGGACAUCCUUUUUAACUAGAAUACCUUUAUUGCAAAUUUGUUUUGCUGUCCCCUGGGUUUCGUUGUAAAGGAGUUUGACUGUAGUUACUAACUUUUUGGUGAGGGCAAUAAGCUUGAUUGUGAAUAAUAAUAAUACAUAAAGACAACUCGAAUAUUGUUCGAGUUGUCUUUGUGUUCGUGUGUAUUGGAAGGUGACAACAAUAGAGCCAGAUAUAACCUUGCAACGUAGAAGGCCGCACAUACAGGAUGUUUCACCUAUCGUGAUAAAUUCUAACCGUAGACGUACACGCCGUAUAGGAUUGUGGGAUUUUUUGCAGUUACCCUCUGGCAACUUUUGCCGACACUUUGGCUUUGCUGACGGGUUUGGACAAUUUUUAAUUGACGGAAAUUUAUGUUUUUAAUCAAAUUAGGAAAAUUGCCAAGCACUGCACCCCUAUUUUUUAACAGAAAUAUGAAGUGCCCUCCGGAUGACCGCAGACCCAACAAAACCUAUGCGCAGUAUUAACAGAAACGGUCGAAAAAAGUAAAAGUGAUGCUUCAGUCCUGCCGACUUGAUUGUUGCAAAAGCAGGCAGCUUGAUUGUUGCAGGGAAGAAGUAUCCCCGCCUCUUGGUUUAUCUUUCUUUUCCCUGGUUUGACCUUGAUGAACAAAGAAACGAAAAAAAAUCAAGGUGGGAACACUUCUUCCUCUUCCUGCUCAGAAUGUUUGAAAUUCCAUGCUAUAUUUUAGAGCUCCAAUUGCAGCUCUUGUAGUGUUAUCUUGAACUCCCAAACUGGGCUGCUUACACUUCGUCCUGGCCGAG